GAUGAACGCUAGCGGCAGGCCUAACACAUGCAAGUCGAGGGAGAAGCCCUUUCGGGGGCAGAAACCGGCGCACGGGUGCGUAACGCGUAUGCAACCUACCUUUCACAGGGGGAUAGCCCGAAGAAAUUUGGAUUAAUACCCCAUCAUAUUAUUGGAUGGCAUCAUUUGAUAAUUAAAACUGCGGUGGUGAAAGAUGGGCAUGCGUCCUAUUAGCUAGUUGGAGUGGUAACGGCACCCCAAGGCUACGAUAGGUAGGGGUCCUGAGAGGGAGAUCCCCCACGCUGGUACUGAGGCAGGGACCAGACUCCUACGGGAGGCAGCAGUGAGGAAUAUUGGUCAAUGGUCGGAAGACUGAACCAGCCAUGCCGCGUGCAGGAAGAAUGCCUUAUGGGUUGUAAACUGCUUUUAUAUGGGAAGAAUAAGGCGUACGUGUACGUUGAUGACGGUACCAUAUGAAUAAGCAUCGGCUAACUCCGUG
rnacentral:rRNA from 1 species